rnacentral:rRNA from 1 species
ACGCUCGACACCUAGGAGGCAGCAGUGGGGAAUAUUGCACAAUGGGGGAAACCCUGAUGCAGCGACGCCGCGUGAAGGAAGAAGUAUUUCGGUAUGUAAACUUCUAUCAGCAGGGAAGAAAAUGACGGUACCUGAGUAAGAAGCACCGGCUAAAUACGUGCCAGCAGCCGCGGUAAUCUGAGCGGGCUGGCAAGGC